UAUGCUGUGAUUCCCUGGGUGUAAACAGAAGGGAGUUGAAAUGGACUCAUUCGGUGAUUGUGAAUAGUGAUUCCUAAGUUAUGGACUGAGAACUCCUCGGAGCAAUGGCUAAGGAAAUAUUGCAAGAGAUCCUUGGAUCUGUUGUCUGCGGAGUGGAUAAGGGCCCACGACAGCAUUUUCAUCUAUAAGUGGGUCUUCGGCCUUGAGAAGGAAUCUUGGCCAUCACUGAGGUGAAGUACAGUGACGGAUGUGUUGGGGCACCUGGGUGGCUCAGUCCGUUCAGCGUUCCGACCCUUGAUAGUGGCUCAGAUCAUGAUCUCACGGUUUGGGAGUUGGAACCCAGCAUCUGGCUCUGUGCUGACUGGAUGGAGUCUGCUUGGAAUGCUCUCUCUCCUCCCCCCCCCCUCUGCCCCUCCCCGACUCACACUUUGUUUCUCUCUC